UACAGAGGUCCCUAGCGUUGUUCGGAUUCACUGGGCGUAAAGGGUGCGUAGGCGGUCGGGUAAGUCUGAUGUGAAAUCUCCAAGCUCAACUUGGAAAUGGCAUCGGAUACUAUUCGGCUCGAGGAAUGGAGGGGAGACUGGAAUACUUGGUGUAGCAGUGAAAUGCGUAGAUAUCAAGUGGAACACCAGUGGCGAAGGCGAGUCUCUGGACAUUUCCUGACGCUGAGGCACGAAAGCCAGGGGAGCAAACGGG
rnacentral:rRNA from 1 species